rnacentral:rRNA from 1 species
GACGAACGCGGCGGCGUGCCUAAUACAUGCAAGUAGAACGCUGAAGGAGGAGCUUGCUUCUCUGGAUGAGUUGCGAACGGGUGAGUAACGCGUAGGUAACCUGCCUGGUAGCGGGGGAUAACUAUUGGAAACGAUAGCUAAUACCGCAUAAUAGCAGUUAUUGCAUGAUAACUGUUUGAAAGGUGCAAUUGCAUCACUACCAGAUGGACCUGCGUUGUAUUAGCUAGUUGGUGGGGUAACGGCUCACCAAGGCGACGAUACAUAGCCGACCUGAGAGGGUGAUCGGCCACACUGGGACUGAGACACGGCCCAGACUCCUACGGGAGGCAGCAGUAGGGAAUCUUCGGCAAUGGACGGAAGUCUGACCGAGCAACGCCGCGUGAGUGAAGAAGGUUUUCGGAUCGUAAAGCUCUGUUGUAAGAGAAGAACGAGUGUGAGAGUGGAAAGUUCACACUGUGACG